GACGUAGGGGGCUAGCGUUGUUCGGAAUCACUGGGCGUAAAGCGCACGUAGGCGGAUUGUUAAGUCGGGGGUGAAAUCCUGAGGCUCAACCUCAGAACUGCCUUCGAUACUGGCGAUCUUGAGUCCGGAAGAGGUUGGUGGAACAGCUAGUGUAGAGGUGAAAUUCGUAGAUAUUAGCUAGAACACCAGUGGCGAAGGCGGCCAACUGGUCCGGAACUGACGCUGAGGUGCGAAAGCGUGGGGAGCAAACAGG
rnacentral:rRNA from 1 species